UAGCGUGAUGCAAACCCGGGCUUCGCCUAUAUGUUUUCAUGAAGAUGAAAGCCCCAAUGCCCGUGCAAUAUAAAUCAGUUGUUGAGUGUUGUAGGUUGGCGAAUCUAUCGGUCUAUACCUGUGUCAAAGCAACAACAACAUCU
rnacentral:snoRNA from 1 species